UGUGCCUACACCAAAUAAAAGCAAGCAGUUCCAGCUUCUCAGGGCUGGCACUGUGGCCACUUGAGCUGCUCUUAUACUGCAUACCUGUGUCUGAGUGCUCAUUUCAUCCAUCGGCCAGGGUCUGUGGGACAGAACCGGGUGCAUGGUGCCCCGUGUGAGUGCAGCGGAUCAUGACGGAACCCUCGAAAAUGAAACUGAAGUGAUUGCGCAAACAUGUGAUCAGGAGGCGGUCAUGAGGAUGAAAGUCAUACGUGAAGGAUGAUGGAACAGAGGGACUAAAGGAGUCUGACCUGGACGCCCUGAUUUCCUGCUAUGUGGUGUGAAAAAGAAGCCACAGUCCCAUGGAUUCUGUUAUCAGCCACUGAGUGCAAUCCUACCUGAUCCCAUGGUCCUCACCAAGGCUGUUGUGUGCUUAGGAAAUGGAGAAUGGCCCCCAAACCACAGCAGCAAAAAUGAGUGGAAGGGUUGAGCAUUACUUCCAGCCCUUGGUUGCUCUGGUGAUUGGUGCCUGGGAGGGGCAGGACCUCCAUCCAACAGACUGUACCAGCAGAGUCAUAAGAGGAAACCUCAGAGAUGCAUUGGACUUGGUCAGCAGACUUGAGUUCCAUGCCCACGCCAGUCACUGACUGGCCAUGACCUGAAUUGGACAAGGCAUGCCCACUCUAGACUUCAGUUGUUCCUUAUCUGGAAAAGGAAAGGAGUGCUUUGACAGUGGUUCCCAGACACCAAUUUAUAAAGAUUUCACUAGUCUGUGGCAAAAUAAUAAUAAUGGCUAUGAAUUAUUGGGUAUUUCCUUUGUGUGAAGUGAUUUUCGUAUAUUAACUCAUUUAAUCUCAUAACCACCUGGAAAAGUACAUAUUCUUAUUAACACCUUCACAUGAUAGAUGAUGAAAAUGAUAAAACCAAGGCUCAGAGAGUUUAAGUAACUUACCUGAAGGUCUUCAGAUGGUAAGUGGUAGAGCCUGGAUUUGAACUCAGGUGUCCUGGUCCCAGAGUCCAUGUACUAAAUCACUACAUUACAGCUGCCCAUGUGAUAAGGAAAGACUAAGGAGGAUGAUGAUGAUGUGCACCCAUAUUGAUGCACACACAGACAAAUAAUACAGUAUAUUUGUGUACUGUUAGUGUAAGUUUAAUACUGACUUUCUGGGGAAGGACAGGGAUAUAUAUAUAUCCUUUAUGUUAAGAGUAAGAGAAUAAGUCAUAUGUUUUACAUUGAAAGGUACUUUUCUGAAACAAUGACAGAAGAUGAGUAUUUUAU